AACGCACCUUGCGCCCUUUGGUAUUCCGAAGGGCAUGCCUGUUUGAGUGUCAUGAAACCUCACCCCACCUGGGAUUUUGCCCGGAUGGCGGUGGAUUGGGUGUUGCCUUUACCGGCUCGCCUCAAAAGCAUAAGCGCCUUGGAUGUAAUACGUUUCAUCCUCUUGGGUGGCUUACAACCCCACAUAUCUCAUGAUCUGGCCUCAAAUCAGGUAGGGCUACCCGCUGAACUUAA
rnacentral:misc_RNA from 1 species